rnacentral:rRNA from 1 species
AACGAACGCUGGCGGCAUGCCUAACACAUGCAAGUCGAACGAGACCUUCGGGUCUAGUGGCGCACGGGUGCGUAACGCGUGGGAACCUGCCCUUAGGUUCGGAAUAACUCCCCGACAGGGGUGCUAAUACCGGCUAAUGUCUUCGGACCAAAGAUUUAUCGCCUUUGGAUGGGCCCGCGUUGGAUUAGCUAGUUGGUAGGGUAAAAGCCUACCAAGGCGACGAUCCAUAGCUGGUCUGAGAGGAUGAUCAGCCACACUGGGACUGAGACACGGCCCAGACUCCUACGGGAGGCAGCAGUGGGGAAUAUUGGACAAUGGGCGAAAGCCUGAUCCAGCAAUGCCGCGUGAGUGAUGAAGGCCUUAGGGUUGUAAAGCUCUUUUACCCGGGAUGAUAAUGACAGUACCGGGAGAAUAAGCUCCGGCUAACUCCGUG